rnacentral:rRNA from 1 species
UGUGCCAGCAGCCGCGGUAAUACAGAGGGUGCAAGCGUUAAUCGGAUUUACUGGGCGUAAAGCGUGCGUAGGCGGCUAUUUAAGUCGGAUGUGAAAGCCCUGGGCUCAACCUGGGAACUGCAUUCGAUACUGGGUAGCUAGAGAUCGGUAGAGGGCGGCGGAAUUCCGGGUGUAGCGGUGAAAUGCGUAGAUAUCCGGAGGAACACCGAUGGCGAAGGCAACCGCCUGGGCCUGAUCUGACGCUGAGGCACGAAAGCGUGGGG